UACAGAGGUCUCAAGCGUUGUUCGGAUUCAUUGGGCGUAAAGGGUGUGUAGGUGGCGCCGUAAGUGGGGUGUGAAAUCUCGGGGCUUAACUCCGAAACUGCAUUCCAUACUGCGGUGCUUGAGGACUGGAGAGGAGACUGGAAUUCAUGGUGUAGCAGUGAAAUGCGUAGAGAUCAUGAGGAAGACCAGUGGCGAAGGCGGGUCUCUGGGCAGUAACUGACGCUGAGGAGCGAAAGCGUGGGGAGCGAACAGG
rnacentral:rRNA from 1 species